CGCGGCGUGGAGCAGUGGCAGCUCGCCAGGCUCAUAACCUGGAGGUCGUAGGUUCAAAUCCUGCCGUCGCAU
rnacentral:tRNA from 1 species